GACGAACGCUGGCGGCGUGCUUAACACAUGCAAGUCGAACGGAAAGGCCCUGCUUUUGUGGGGUGCUCGAGUGGCGAACGGGUGAGUAACACGUGAGUAACCUGCCCUUGACUUUGGGAUAACUUCAGGAAACUGGGGCUAAUACCGGAUAGGAGCUCCUGCUGCAUGGUGGGGGUUGGAAAGUUUCGGCGGUUGGGGAUGGACUCGCGGCUUAUCAGCUUGUUGGUGGGGUAGUGGCUUACCAAGGCUUUGACGGGUAGCCGGCCUGAGAGGGUGACCGGCGACAUUGGGACUGAGAUACGGACCAGACGCGUACGGGAGGCAGCAGUGGGGAAUAUUGCACAAUGGGAGGAAGCCUGAUGCAGAAACGCCGCGUGCGGGAUGACGGCCUUCGGGUUGUAAACCGCUUUCGCCUGUGACGAAGCGUGAGUGACGAUAAUGGGUAAAGAAGCACCGGCUAACUACGUG
rnacentral:rRNA from 1 species